rnacentral:lncRNA from 1 species
UUCAGGUCCAGGACCCAAAUUCAGGACUGCAAAAGGGCAGCUCUUUAGUUUUCUUUGUCUCUUAGUGUAACCAGCUCCUUCUAGCUCUUGGUCCUUGCUGGUGCCAUGGAGAUUGAAGCCGCCGACAAAACAGCAAACAGCAACAGAGCAAACAGUCUUGUUGGAGCUCAGCACCACCUCCUGAAUUUGAUCUGCACUUAAAUUCUCUCUCCUUCUACUUAGGCUGAGGAUAUGUGGCAUUCCUAUGUGCACCCCUGUGGUUCUAAAUUCUACUCAGGGCCAAGAUUUUCUUGGCGAAUGACUCAGCAUUUUACAGUCUGACAUUUUAAGAGGACCACUUUGCUAUUAAACUGAAGCCCAUAUAUUAAAGUUAAAC